UGACUCAGGAGAGUGAAUAGAACUGAAAAGUCCCCAGGAAAACCAGAAAAAUGCUGAAAUUAGAAACCAGUUACCGGCUGCCGGCUGGGCUCCUUGGCUAAGAACACACAAGUGAAAACUCGGUGUUAUCUGCAUUCCUCUGCUUCACCAACAAGUACAGAGAAGCUCGUUAGACCGCAAUUUAAAUUGAAACAUGAUUGUACAUUAAAAAGUCAGCUUAAGCCUAA